rnacentral:rRNA from 1 species
CCUACGGGAGGCAGCAGUAAGGAAUAUUGGUCAAUGGAGGCAACUCUGAACCAGCCACGCCGCGUGCAGGAUGACGGCCCUAUGGGUUGUAAACUGCUUUUAUACAAGAGAAAACCCUGGUACGUGUACCAGGUUGAUAGUAUUGUAAGAAUAAGCAUCGGCUAACUUCGUGCCAGCAGCCGCGGUAAGACGAAGGAUGCAAGCGUUAUCCGGAUUCAUUGGGUUUAAAGGGUGCGUAGGCGGACUGAUAAGUCAGUGGUGAAAUCUCUUUGCUUAACAAAGAAACUGCCAUUGAUACUGUCGGUCUAGAGUAUAGAUGACGUUGGCGGAAUAUGACAUGUAGUGGUGAAAUACUUAGAUAUGUCAUAGAACACCGAUUGCGAAGGCAGCUAACGAAACUAUAACUGACGCUGAGGCACGAAAGUGCGGGGAUCAAACAGGAUUAGAUACCCUGGUAGUCCGCACCGUAAACGAUGAUUGCUCGUUGUUGGCGAUAUGACAGUCAGCGACCAAGCGAAAGCGAUAAGUAAUCCACCUUGGGGAGUACGCCGGNAACGGUUGAAACUUCAAAGGAUUGACGGCUUGAGACGNGCGAGGACGACGACGAGGGAGGAGG